UUCAUGUACAGAAUGACAAUAAAGUAUAUUUUGAGAGUCCUUUUGUUACCUCACUAUUAAAACGGGAUGGUAACCUUGGCAUACAAGAAGAUAGUGCCUUUAUGACAAAGAUUGUCAAAAAAUAUAUGGAGCAUGACAUGAUAGAACUUCCAAUAAAUACCGGCAACACGCAUUGGUAUUUAGCUAUUGUGAAUACAAAAAAGCGUGAGAUCCAAGUACUGGACUCAUUGUGCUGGAAGUUUGAUCGAGAGGACCUUGCUAUUACGAUACGAGGAGUACAAUUUCAUUUGGAUCUUCUUAAAAGUCGGAACUUGAUUAAGGACGAUUGGAAAGACGUUGAUCUUACUGAAUGGAAUAUCACAAAACAGUUACAAAAUCCAAUUCAAAAAGACAGUUCUUCUUGCGGUUUAUUUACGGUCAAAUUUAUGGAAUAUUUCACCGGAUGUACACUAUCCUACCCAAUUACAUAGGAAAUGAUUACUUCUUUUAGGUGUAAGUCAGCCAGCAUACUAUUAUGUUGGAAAACAAACAUUGCAUCAAUGACUACAAUCGUUGAAGAAAGUGACGAUGACAAUAAGGGAGAUCCUGAUGAUGUUCAAAUAUUGGAAAGUGUAGAUGAUAUUAAAAAAACAAAACAAAAAAUCCCAUUAUCUGUUGAAAAUAAAUAUAGAUCACUAAUAUCUAUUCUUUCUAAUAUGAGCAUGCAUGAGUUAACAGGUGCACUCUGUAACUUCAUUAAAUCAAUCAAAUACACCGAGAUUUUAGAGAAAGUAUGGAUCCAAAGUUCAAAUCCAUAUCCAAUUAGCUUGUCUCUCGGAAAGCUACAAGGAAUGCUACAGGAUGAUUUACCCAUGGAUCGAGAUUGCUUUAAUUUGGUCAUACGGAAGAUUAUGUUUGAUGACAUCCAAACGGCACAAAAAACAAAACAAUUGAUAACAAAGCAUUAUGUUGACAUGAAAUUUUGGAUGACUACUGAUUUUGGACGACACCCAAAAUUCCGCAAAAAGUUAGACGUGGAGCA